CCUACGGGGGUCUGCAGUGGGGGAUAUUGCACAAUGGGGGAAACCCUGAUGCAGCGACGCCGCGUGGGCGAAGAAGUAUUUAGGUAUGUAAAGCCCUAUCAGCAGGGAAGAAGAAAUGACGGUACCUGAGUAAGAAGCACAGGCUAAAUACGUGCCAGCAGCCGCGGUAAUACGUAUGGUGCAAGCGUUAUCCGGAUUUACUGGGUUUAAAGGGAGCUCAGGCGGCACGGCAAGCCUGAUGUGAAAGAAAGCGGCCCAACCGCGGGACUGCAUUGGGAACUAACGUGCUGGAGUGCCGGAGAGGUAGGCGGAAGUCCUAGUGUAGCGGUGAAAUGCGUAGAUAUUAGGAGGAACACGGGUGGCGAAGGCGGCCUACUGGACGGUGACUGACGCUGAGGCUCGAAAGCGUGGGGAGCAAACAGGAUUAGAUACCCGAGUAGUC
rnacentral:rRNA from 1 species